UACGGGGGGAGCAAGCGUUGUUCGGAUUUACUGGGCGUAAAGGGCGCGUAGGCGGCAUGACAAGUCACUUGUGAAAUCUCUGGGCUUAACUCAGAACGGCCAAGUGAUACUGUCGCGCUAGAGUGCAGAAAGGGCAAUCGGAAUUCUUGGUGUAGCGGUGAAAUGCGUAGAUAUCAAGAGGAACACCUGAGGCGAAGGCGGGUUGCUAGGCUGACACUGACGCUGAUGCGCGAAAGCCAGGGGAGCAAACGGG
rnacentral:rRNA from 1 species